rnacentral:rRNA from 1 species
GAUGAACGCUGGCGGCGUGCCUAAUACAUGCAAGUCGAGCGAACAGACGAGGAGCUUGCUCCUCUGACGUUAGCGGCGGACGGGUGAGUAACACGUGGAUAACCUACCUAUAAGACUGGGAUAACUUCGGGAAACCGGAGCUAAUACCGGAUAAUAUAUUGAACCGCAUGGUUCAAUAGUGAAAGACGGUUUUGCUGUCACUUAUAGAUGGAUCCGCGCCGCAUUAGCUAGUUGGUAAGGUAACGGCUUACCAAGGCAACGAUGCGUAGCCGACCUGAGAGGGGGGUCGGCCCAACUGGAACUGAGACACGGUCCAGACCCCUACGGGAGGCAGCAGUAGGGAAUCUUCCGCAAUGGGCGAAAGCCUGACGGAGCAACGCCGCGUGAGUGAUGAAGGUCUUCGGAUCGUAAAACUCUGUUAUUAGGGAAGAACAAAUGUGUAAGUAACUAUGCACGUCUUGACGGUACCUAAUCAGAAAGCCACGGCUAACUACGUG